rnacentral:rRNA from 2 species
GUAAAAGUCGUAACAAGGUCUCCGUUGGUGAACCAGCGGAGGGAUCAUUACCGAGUUUACAACUCCCAAACCCCUGUGAACAUACCUUAAUGUUGCCUCGGCGGAUCAGCCCGCGCCCCGUAAA